rnacentral:lncRNA from 1 species
AAUGAAUAGGCCAUCAGUGAAAUAUUUUGUUUUGUUUUCUUUGAGGCAGGGUCUUACUAUGCAGUUCAGGCUGGCCUUGAACGCACUAUGGAGCCCUGGCUGGCCUCCACCUCAGGUGAUCCUCCUGCCUCAGCCUCCAGAGUGCUGGUAUCAUAGGUGUGUGCCACCAUGCCCAGCUAAGUCCAAAUGUCAGCAGAGAGAAUAAGAAGUAAACUGAGGAAGCGGUGAUGUUCCUGGUUAUGAAGAGUGAUAGAGAAAUAUCUCCCGGCUUGCAAAUGUGAGCACGGGUUUAUUUGUUUUUACCACGAAGGACUGUAGACUUAAUCAUGUUUUAGUGAACAUCCAAAACAGAAAAAGCAGGAUUCACAUAUAAAGCCCCUUAGUUGUCAUUAACAUUGAACUAUCCCUGGCCGGGUGUGGUGGCUCACUCCUGUAAUCCCAGCACUUGGGAGGCUGAGACAGGAG